rnacentral:rRNA from 1 species
GACGAACGCCGGCGGCGUGCUUAACACAUGCAAGUCGAACGAAGAGCGAUGGAAGCUUGCUUCUAUCAAUCUUAGUGGCGAACGGGUGAGUAACGCGUAAUCAACCUGCCCUUCAGAGGGGGACAACAGUUGGAAACGACUGCUAAUACCGCAUACGAUCUAAACUCGGCAUCGAGGAUAGAUGAAAGGUGGCCUCUACAUGUAAGCUAUCACUGAAGGAGGGGAUUGCGUCUGAUUAGCUAGUUGGAGGGGUAACGGCCCACCAAGGCGAUGAUCAGUAGCCGGUCUGAGAGGAUGAACGGCCACAUUGGGACUGAGACACGGCCCAGACUCCUACGGGAGGCAGCAGUGGGGAAUCUUCCGCAAUGGACGAAAGUCUGACGGAGCAACGCCGCGUGGGUGAUGACGGCCUUCGGGUUGUAAAGCUCUGUUAAUCGGGACGAAAGGCC